rnacentral:tRNA from 1 species
UGCUGAUGGCGCUCAUGGGGUCCAUGUCCUACUACAGAAGGGUAAGAGGAUCCCCGCGCCGCCGGAGCGCGU